GUUAUUAUCGCGGCCAUUAGUUAAUGAGCGCUGCGCGACUUGGGCACAGACGCUUCGGAAUGAGCCGUCUUUUACUUUAAAUGAUGCAGUCCGUGUCGAGCUGCGUACAGAUGCCGAAGUCGGACUGGCUCUCCCCAGUCAUUGGCCAAAAGCGGGCCGGAGUCGGGCAACGGGAGGCAUCCCACCUCGGCGCUAAAUAAGAGGGGACCUCUGAGUCAAGUUCAAGUUCCCAAAGGAAAGCUCACGGCUGCUUGGGAGACUCAGCGCUCCGCCUGACUGCCUCGGAGACCUGCAGGCAGACCUGCCUCAACCCCUGCGGACCUGCCUCGGCCUCUGCAGGCCUUGCCACGCCGGCCAGUCGCCUGCAUGAUUACAGAGUGAAGGUUGAUGUCAUUUCCCCUCCACUAAUGCCACAGCACGCAAACAUGGUGGAAGUGAAGGCGAAAUGCCGGGGAGGGAGGCGGGAGGAUGUUCACAGCCUUUUGAAGUGCCUUGUCUUUAUGGGCAAACAUCUGGAGUGUCCCAGACACCUCGCAGCUGCCCUUACAAACAGAACUCGGGGCAAAAGCGCUCUAAAUACGCCCUUGGGGCAGAGCUGCUGGGGGUGUGGGCCUCCUUCUGCUCCCCAUCCGCAGCAACACGCAAAAACAUACCUCGCUGUGAAGUACGGGCAGAAAAGGCGCACCUGCACGGUGGACGCCGGGCUGAACAAUGCUGUGUUUGCACGAGCUGAAACAUGGAUGAGCCUUUCAGAUUGUCAUGUUCAGCAAUAUAGUAUUCCAAAAUCACGUCAAGAUCAGAAACAGUUGCUGCACGAAGAGGCGGGAUUUCCGGAAAGCACAUGGACGUGGCAUUUUUCCUGUAAAUCAGUGGCAGUCUACAGAAGAGCAUGGUGAGAGGUGUUUUAAGGUCAUGGUAGGACUUAGCACUAGCUGGGCAGAGUCAUUCAUGGGUGGAGCAGGUGCUGUGGCAGAGCGGUGGCUCAGGCCAGGUGUGGAGAUUUGAAUUCAGGCACAAGGCUGAUUUGCUUUGGUUGAGCUCAGCUCUUCCCCCCAGUUACAUGUUCAUCUGUUGUUUGUGCUUGUUGAUAUUUUCUGUCACAAAUUAAUUACCUCAAAAAAAAAACAAAAAAAAAACAACUUUGUUGUGCUAAUCAUAUUGCCAUUCCUUUCUUGUCAGUUAAUAAACUUGGCAA